AUGUACAUUCCUACAACAUAGAAUUAAUGCACUAGAUUAAAUUAGAACUCCACAGUUAAGUGUGCUUAGGCUAUAGUAGUAAUAGGAUAGGUGACCUCCCAAGAAGUCCUAGUGUUUUACAUG
rnacentral:rRNA from 1 species